UACGUAGGGGGCAAGCGUUGUCCGGAAUCAUUGGGCGUAAAGAGCGUGUAGGCGGCCCGAUAAGUCCGCUGUGAAAGUCCAGGGCUCAACCCUGGAAUGCCGAGUGGAACUGUCGGGCUGGAGUCCGGAAGAGGCGAGUGGAAUUCCUGGUGUAGCGGUGAAAUGCGCAGAUAUCAGGAGGAACACCAAUGGCGAAGGCAGCUCGCUGGGACGGUACUGACGCUGAGGUGACGAAGACGUGGGGAGCAAACAGG
rnacentral:rRNA from 1 species